AAACAGUCGAAUAUACUACUCAGACUUCACCCGGAGUUUCUCCUGCCGUCCUCUCCUGUGAGGAGCAUAUGUGACCAGCCAGGCCAGGAGACUAUCCGGAGCAGUCCACCUGCAAGUAUCUAAAUAUAUUCAGGAGUGCACAUGUGACAACAGCUCCGUUUUUUAUAAAGGAAUCAAACAAUAGUCUAAUUCACAAAUCUGGACCUAAUGCUGGCAGACGUUCUUCAUCGAUAAGAGUCAUGCCCGAGAACCGCCCACGCUACGUGAUUGACAGGCCCGCUUAUAACCUCCCGGACUUUGACAGAGAGUUUGACAAGAAGAGUCGACAACUCCCCGUCGGAGAGAAACUGAAGAAACCCUUCAGAUGCUCGGUGAAGAGACUGAAGGGCUUAUUAUUCAGACAUCUGCCUGUUCUGAGCUGGCUCCCCAAGUACAAAGUGAAAGAAAACCUGCUGCAUGAUGUCAUCAGCGGGGUCAGUGCCGGCACUAUUCAGGUUCCCCAAGGCAUGGCAUUUGCCCUGUUGGCAAACCUCCCUCCCGUCAACGGUCUCUAUUCGUCUUUCUUCCCCCUCAUCCCUUAUUUCUUCAUGGGCACCACUCCCCAGAUAGUGCCGGGUACGCUCCCCCUCCUCAGCAUUAUGGUGGGAGCGGCAUGUCUGCGUCUGGCCCCAGAGUCCGACUUCAGUCAUUUCAAUGCCACUCUAAAUGCUACAAUAGUGGACACAGACAGGAUGGACGAGGUUCGACUGGGAAUAUCUGGAACUCUGGCCUGUCUCACUGCAAUCAUACAGAUUAGCCUUGGCUUCAUGCAGAUUGGCUUUGUGGCCAUCUAUCUGUCAGAUUCGUUCAUCAGAGGCUUCUUGACGGCCUCAUCGCUGCAUUUUCUCACCUCAAUGCUCAAAUACAUCUUUGACGUCAACGUUUCACCUCAUGCUGGUCCACUGGCCAUUAUAUAUAGGCUCAUAGAUAUCGUUCGCAGUCUUCCCGAUACCAACGUAGCAUCUCUAGUAUUCGCUCUGGUCAGCAUUGUAGUCCUGAUUGUGGUGAAGGAGCUAAAUGCCCGCUACCGCCACAAGUUGCCCUUUCUCAUACCUGUGGAGUUCAUCGUUGUGGUGGUGGCAACAGCCAUUUCAGGCCCUUUGCAUCUUCCUGAGACCUACAACAUGGAUAUAGUGGGCCUAAUUCCUUUGGGAUUCCCAGCACCAAUCCUACCAACAGUGAGUCAGUGGGAGGAAUUGCUGAGCACAGCUUUCUCUCUGGCAAUUAUAGGUUACAUCAUGAACUUGGCUAUUUCACGGACACUGGCAACCAAGCAUGGCUACGACGUGGAUGCUAACCAGGAAAUGUUGGCUCUUGGCUGCAGCAAUUUCUUUGGCUCCUUCUUUAAAAUCCAAGUGACCUGCUGUGCUCUGUGUGUGACCAAGGCUGUGGACAGUGCAGGUGGAAAAUCACAGUUCGCCAGUUUUAGUGUGAUGAUGGUCGUAAUGGUCACACUGCUUGCAUUGGGAGUCUACCUGAGACCGCUUCCAAAAUCAGUGCUUGGAGCCUUGAUUGUGGUCAACCUGAAGCCCCCACUCCUCCAGCUCUCCGAUCCAUACUACUUAUGGAAGAAGAGCAAAUUGGACUGUUGUGUGUGGGUUGUGACGUUCUUGUCCACAUUAUUACUUGGCUUGCCUUAUGGAGCUGCUGUCGGAGUGGGCUUUUCCAUCCAGGUGGUGAUAUUCAGGACACAAUUUCGUAAUGGUUCAGCAUUGGUUCAAAUUGAGGCUACAGAUAUCUACAAAAACCCAAAGGUGUACAGCAAGGGCAUGUCCGUAAAGGGUGUGAAAAUUUUGAACUACUGCUCACCCCUUUAUUUUGCGAAUGCAGAAAUAUUUCGACAGAGGGUCAUCAAAAAGACUGGGCUCGACCCUGGAAAACAUAUCCUGGCCAGAUGGAAGUUGUUGGAGAAAAAGCAGAAGGAGAAAGCGAAACAGGAGAAGAAGGACAAGGAGGCAAGAAAGAAGAAUCUCAGCUCUAUGGUUGACAUGAAGAUCCAGACCAUAUCUCAGCUUGAACUGCGAAAGGACUUUGGCUUGAAAGACGACAGACUUCCCAUCAGAUUUGUCAACCCUGGAUUUAGUGACAUUGAGCUGGCUCAGGAGAUGCCUGAGCCUGAGUUGCCCUUCCACACCCUCGUACUCGACCUGGCAGGAGUCUGCUUUGUCGACCUGAUGGGCAUCAAAGUCUUGAUUAAGAUGAACUCAAGCUACUCGAUGCUUGGGAUGAAACUAUACCUGGCAAAUAUUCAAGCCCAGGUGUAUGAGGAACUGAAGGCGGGAGGCGCGUUUGAUGAUGGAAACAUUGCAGGCAGUAAUCUCUUUCUUUCUGUCCAUGAUGCCAUUCUGUUUGCACUAGAAACUUCUGAAGAGCAGCGAGACUCCUCAAAGGUAGAUCCAGCUCCUUUUCAUGACAUCACAUACACACACAGACCGCUUAAAGGUUUCUAUGUCAGGGAUAAAGGAAUGGAUUUUAAAGAUUACAAAAGCAAGAUAGUUUUCUUACUUCUGCAUUCCUGGCUUGGCAAAGCUUUUGUCGUCUUAUCUGAUUCAACAAGGGUAACCAGAAAGGUCACAAGGGAUUACAGGUGAUGUGACACAUAAAAUGCUUCAACAAAUAAAGCUAAAUCAAGGUCACGCUGCAUAAUACAUAAUACAUUCUCCUUAUGAUUCUGCUCUACUUUCUAUUCAUUAAGGCUAUGGUUAUCAACAGGUGGGUCGGGACCCAAAAUUGGGUCACAUUGUGGCUUUUAAUGGGUCGAGGAUGUGUGUCAGGGAAGAAAAUAGUUAAGGCAAAAAGUCUAUUCUGUGUUUUUAUUUAUUAUAUAUUUAUAUACAAUAUGGUGUCUUUAAAGUGUUCAUGUGUAGAAGGGUCAGUAGAGGACAGUAGGUCGAUGUUAUGCACUUUAAGGCCGGCCAUCUGCAAUUAAACGACAAGAGGAGAAGAAUGUGACUUUCAGACCUUCUUCAAUGCAACAUGAUGCCCAUUUAUUUUAAAUGUAGUCAUAUUUCAAGUAAAGCAGACACAUCAGCAGGUUAUUCUUCAGGGAGUGAUUAACCCGUCAUUGAAAAGUCACUACCGGGGCAACUUGUUAGUCAUUAUUAAAGAGAGUUUAGAAUCAUCCAAAUGUGGCCACUCGUAAAAAAAUGUAAAUGGUAAUGCAAAAACACAAAACAUGACCUUCAAAAAAGUUUACCAAAAACCAUUAUAUGGUGACCGUUUAUGGUUUGUGUUCUUGUCUGUUUGACUUUAAAUAUAUAAAUUCAUUUUAUUGUCUACAGACAGAGAAAGAAACAAAGGAGCUGUGCCUCUACAUGAAUGAGGAGCUGGAUCUAGAACAGGAAAUGUUUUGAAUGCUUCAAUGAAGAUGCAAUAAAGGAAACAUAGUAUUUAUUUUUAUACAUUUCUUUACUUGAUGGUUGGGAAUUAA